AUGGCAGGAUCCUCCUUCAUGAGAAGAUGGAAGCAUGGUGUUGUUUUUGCCUGGUUUUGCUCAAAUGUCAUGCACACCAAGGCACCUUUUGAUUGUAAACCAGCCUGUCCUGUAUUGGUCUGCAUACACCAUGAUUGUCCCUUAGGGGAACUGUGAGUGUGGGGCUCCUCUGUCCUCAUGGAGUUGGUGGAGCUCAUGAAGGACUUCAGCAUUUGGGUCCUUUUGGCAACAUCCCGAACAUAGUGGCAGAGUUGACUGGAGACAACAUUCCUAAGGACUUUAGUGAGGAUCAGGGGUACCCAGACCCUCCAAAUCCCUGUCCUGUUGGAAAAACAGAUGAUGGAUGUCUAGAAAACACCCCUGACACCGCAGAGUUCAGUCGAGAGUUCCAGUUGCACCAGCAUCUCUUUGAUCCGGAACAUGACUAUCCAGGCUUGGGCAAGUGGAACAAGAAACUCCUUUACGAGAAGAUGAAGGGAGGAGAGAGACGAAAGCGGAGGAGUGUCAAUCCAUAUCUACAAGGACAGAGACUGGAUAAUGUUGUUGCAAAGAAGUCUGUCCCCCAUUUUUCAGAUGAGGAUAAGGAUCCAGAGUAAAGAGAAGAUGCUAGACG
rnacentral:sRNA from 1 species